UCCACAACAGGAAGGGCCGGAAGUCCCGCCCCUCCACUCCGGAGGCUGCCCUCGCUGCGUUCCCUACGAAGGGCGGAGCAGGAAUUGGUGUAGGAAGGGGACGGGUGUUUCCUUGUUCGGAAUGGGGUUGGCUCCUCUUUGAUUUUUUACUUCUGGUGACCCACGCAAAAGCAGUCCCGACCUGGUUGUAUUAAUAAUAAAGGCUGUAAGGAUCAGCCUUUUGAACGGUCCAGCCGAGAACUAACCACAGAGCGCGUUUUAGUGGAGUGGUACUUAUUUUUAAAUAAGGUAAAAAACGAUUAUACUUCAGUAAAGCUGUUUAGAAAAAAAAAAACUUGGCCAAAGAUGGAGAACUCUUCCUAAUUUGGUAUCAGAAAAUAGGUCGUCUAUGUAUCUGCACCUUUUUUCCUUAUAAAGUGGCAAAUAAAUGUGUCUGCUAUAUUUAUUGCCACUAAACAAGUGUUUAUGGAACACUCACUGUGUGUUUAGGCAUAGUGGGGAUAAAGCAGGGAAGGUGGCCCAGUUCUUUGCGGGUGAGGAUCAGAGCUAGAGAUUAACUGGAAAGAAAGAAUAAACAAUCAUUUAUUACAGUUGUGAGUGUUUCUAAGAUAAAAUACAGAGGUUUGUGAGAGCAUAGAGAGGCAUACCUUGUUUUAUUGUGCAUUUUAUUGUGCUUUGCAGAUACUGAGUUUACUACAAAUGGAAGGUUUGAGGCAACCUUGAUGGAGCAAGUGUAUGGGUGCCAUGUUUUUCCAACAUCAUGUGCUCACUUUGUGUCUCUGACAUAUUUUGGUAAUUCCCACAAUAUUUCAAACUUUUUCAUUAUUUUUGUAUCUGUUAGAGUGAUCUGUGUGAUCACUGAUCUUUGAUGUCACUACUGUAAUUGUUUUGGGGGACCACAGAUCAUGCUCAUACAUUAUAAAAUGGCGAACUGAAUCUGUUACAGGUAGUUAGGCAUGAGCAAGGCAGGAGAGGGCUCUCCCCUGCCACCCACCCACUAGAAAUGUUGGGUGAUGGUUCAGCAAUUAUCACAUGGCCUCUCUAAAAAUGAAAAUUUGGCAGCGCCAGGGAAAGGCCAUUUCCUGAUGGCCCACACCUGUUAACAUCAAAAUGUUAAUUGAAUGCAGGCCCCAGAGAGAAGCAACUUCCUGGGCAUGCCGGUUAAGAGACAAAAGUGAUGAAGUAUGAUUUUUCUGAUACACUCCACCGGAAAAAGGAAGAAAGCCUCAGAUGGGCAUGUGUAUAAAUCCAUAAAAUCACUGUGUGUGCUCACUUCCCAAGGGUAAAGAGGGCUCUGAGCAUGCAGGGAGCCCAUCCUAAGAUCAUGGUUAAAUGCGGCACUUGACCUUCUCUCUCUCUCUCUCCUUUUCUUUUUCUUUUUUUUUUGAGACGGAGUCUCACUCUGUCGCCCAGGCUGCAGUGCAGUGGCGCGAUUUCAGCUCACUGCAAUCUCCGCCUCCCGGGUUCAAGCAAUUCUCUGCCUCAGCCCCCUCCCCGAGUAGCUGGGAUUACAGGCGCCCACCACCAUACCCGGCUAAUUUUUUUGUAUUUUUAGUAGAGACAGGGUUUCACCAUCUUGGCCAGGCUGGUCUUGAACUCCUGACCUCAUGAUCCACCUGCUUCAGCCUCCCAAAGUUCUGGGAUUAUAGGCGUGAGCCACUGCACCCGGCUGGCCUUCUCUCUUUAACCUUCACAUGCCCACUUGGGUCUCUUCCAUGCGUACCUUCCUUUCUUUCCUGUUCUAAUGCCUGUUUAAAUAAACCUCCAUUCCUACUCUGGAACUUGCUUCAGUCUCUUUUCUGCUUUAUGUCUGUCAGUCAAAUUCUUUCUUCUCUGAGGAGGCCAGGACUGAAGUUGCUAUGGACCUGCAAGGAUAGGCUGCUGGUAACUUGGGGUAACUCAGAUCUCUUCCACUAGUAACAAGUCGAUUGAUAUAUAUUGUGUGUGUCUGGCUGCUGUAUUCACUGGCCACUCUCAUCUCUCACCCUCUCCUAGAGCCUUCCUAUUCCUUGAGACACAACAAUAUCAAAAUUAGGCAAAGUAAUACCCCUACAGUGGCUUCUAAGUGUCCAAGUAAAAGAGGGUUGUAUGUCUCUCACUUUAAAUCAUAACCUAGAAAUGCAUGAUUAAGCCUGUAAGGAAGGCAUGUUGAAAGCUAAGAUAGGCUGAAAGCUAAGCCUCUUGUGUCAAACAGCCAAGUUGUGAAUACAAAGAAAAAAUUCUUAAAGGAAAUUAAAAGUACUACUCCAGUGAACACAUGAAUAAUAAGAAAAACCAAAACAGCCUUAUUACUGACAGGGAGGAAGUUUGAAUGGUCUGGAUAGAAGAUCAAACCAGCUACAACAUUCCCUUAAACCAAAGCCUAAUCCAGAACAAAGCCCUAACUCUCUUCGAUUCUAUGAAGGCUGAGAAAGGUGAGGGAGUUGAAGAAAAGUUUAAAGCUAUCAGUAGUUGGUUCAUGAAAUUUAAGGAAAGAAGCCAUCUCUGUAACAUAAAAGGGCAAGGUGAAGCCACAAGUGCUGAUGUAGAAGCUGCAGCAAGUUAUCCAGAAGAUCUAACGAAGACCAUUGAUGAAGGUGGCCAAAUUAAACAGCGGAUUUUUAAUGUAGAUGCAACAGCCUUCUAGUGGAAGAUGUCAUCCAGGACUUUCAUAGCCAGAGAGAAAUUAAUGCCUGGUUUCAAAGCUUCAAAGGACAGGCUGAUUGUCUUGUGAAGGUCUAAUGCAGCUGGUGACUUGAAGUUGAAACCAAUGCUCAUUUCUCAUUUCAAAAUCCUAGGGCCCUUAAGAAUUAUGUUAAAUCUACUCUGCCUGCACUCCAGAAACAACAGAGCCUGGAUGACAGCACAUCUGUUUAGAGUAUGAUUUACUGAAUAUUUUAAGCCCACUGUUGAAAAUGACAUUCAGAAAAAUAGAUUUCUUUUAAAAUAUUGCUACUUAUUGACAAUGCACCUGGUCACCUAAGAGCUCUGAUGACGUACAAGGAGAUUAAUGUUGUUUUCAUGUCUGCUAACGCAGCAUCCAUUCUACAGCCUAAGAGUCAAGAAGUAAUUUUGAUUUUCAGGUCUUAUUAUUUAAACAAUACAUUUCUUGAGGCUAUAGCUGACAUACAGAGUGAUGUCUCUAAUGGAUCUGGGCAAAAUCAAUUGAAAACCUUUGGGAAAAGAUUCACCAUUCUAGAUGCCAUUGAGAACAUUUGUGCUUCAUGGGAGGAGGUCAAAAUAUCCAAUUAAGAGAAGUUUGGAAGAAGUUUAUUCCAAUCCUCAUGGUUGAGUUUGAGGGCUUCAUGUCUUUAGUGAAAGAAGUGACUGCAGAUGUGAUGGAAACAGCAAGAGAACUGAAUGAGAAGGGGAGCCUGAAGAUGUGACUGAAUUGCUGCAAUCUCCUGAUAAACCUUGAAUGGAUGAGUUGCUUCUUUUUUUUUUGAGAUGGAGUCUUGCUCUGUCACCCAGGCUGGAGUGCAGUGGCACAAUCUUGGCUCAGUGCAACCUCCGCUUGCUGGGUUCAAGCAAUUCUUCUGCCUCAGCCUCCCGAGUAGCUGGGACUACAGGCAUGCGCCACCAUGCCCGGCUAAUUUUUUGUAUUUUUGGUAGAGACAGGGUUUCACCAUGCUGUCCAGGCUGGUCUUGAACUCCUGACCUUGUGACCCGCCUGCCUCGGCCUCCCAAAGUGCUGGGAUUACAGGCGUGAGCCACGGCGCCUGGCCUGCGUUGCUUCUUAUGGAUUAGCAAAGAAAGUGAUUUCUUGAAAUGGAAACUACUCCUAGUGAAGAUGCUGAGUAUUGUUGAAAUGACAAUAAAGGAUUUUGAAUAUUACAUAAACUUUGUUGAUAAAACAGCAGCAGGGUUUAAGAUGAUUGACUCAAAUUUUUAAAGAAGUUCUAUUGUGGUUAAAAUGCUAUCACACAGCAUUGCAAACUGGAUAAAUCUUUCUUGAAAGGAAGAGGCAAACCUCAUUGUUGGCUUAUUUUAAGAAAUUGCCACAGCUGUCCCAGCCUUCGGCAACCACCACCCGAAUCAGUCAACAGCUAUCAACACUGGGGCAAGACCCUCCACCAGCAAAAAGAUUACGAUUCACUGAAGACUCAUAUGAUCAUUUGUAUUUUCUAGCAAUAAAGAAUUUUUAAAUUAAGGUAUGUAUAUUUAAAGAAUAUGCUUUCGCACACUUAAUAGGCCUCAGUAUAGUAUAAACAUAACUUUUAUAUGUACUGGGAAACCAAAGAAUUCCCAACUUACUUUAUUGCAAUAUUUGCUUUAUUGUAGUCUGGAACGGAACUAGCAAUAUCUCCAUGGAAUACCUGUAAUGAGCAGAUUUAACCUAAGAUGAGAAAAUAUUUCCACUGAAGUUUGAAAUUUAAGUACGUGUUAGCCAGGUAAAGUAGGGGGAAAAGUAUUUCAAGCAGAGGUUAAAGUCCCUGUGUUAAGGCUGUGAGGCCCAAGGGAAGGAGCUUUCCCUUUAAAAAGGACUGAAAGAAAGCAAAUGUGGUUUAAGCAUGGUUAGGGAGGAAAGAGGCCUGAAGGGGAGGGAAUCCUGGAGUGGGAUACAGAGGUAGGCAGGCAGAGUACAGAACAUUAGGGAUUUAUGGACUCAAGAUUUAUAUUCUCUGACACCAAAUUAGGAAAAAAAGAGGUCUCUAUUUUUGGCCAAGUUGUGUGUGUGUGUGUGUGUGUGUGUGUGUGUGUGUGUGUUUUAAACAGCUUUAUUGAGGUAUAAUUGUUUAUUACAAGGUGUUUAAGUAGGCUGGGCACGGUGGCUCACAUCUGUAAUCCCAGCACUUUGGGAGGCCAAGGCAGGUGGACCACCUGAGGUCAGUAGUUCCAGACCAGCCUGGCCAACAUGGUGAAACCCCAUCUCUACUAAAAAUACAAAAAUUAGCUGAGCAUGGUGCCAGGCACCUGUAAUCCCAGCGACUCAGGAGGCUGAGGCAGGAGAAUUGCUUGAACCUGGGAGGGGGAGGUUGCAAUGAGCCAAGAUCGUGCCACUGCACUCCAGCCUGAACAACAGAGCAAGACUCCAUCUCAAAAACAAAAACAAAAACAGAAAACAACAAGGUGUUUAAGCAAAUGUGGCAGCACCACAGGAUGGGGGGGGCAACAUAAACCCCUAAUUUACCUCCAUUUAAAAAAGGCUGAUAUGCAAAUUGAUAUCAAUCUUCCAUGAAGUGUAAAUAAAGGCAUCUUUAAAGAUCACAUUUUCAUUGACCUGUAACAUCAGUUUGUAUCACAUAAUGCUAACUUAGUUCCUGUCCCACCCCCACCUUUUACCUUCUAAGAACCUCCUAUAUCGAAAUCCUAUCUACUACAGAGUUUUGUGAUGCUAUUUGUCCAUUAGAAAGAUUCUUGGAACUGCUAAGUGGAGAAAGGAUUAUAGGAUGCAAGGUUGAUGUGGAUAGCUCAGUAGAAGGUUUUUGAAAAAGCAACAGUAGAGAUCAUGGCAGCUUGGACGCAGGACCUGGGCAGUGAAGAUGAUGAGCACAGCUCCAGGAAAUAUUUAGGAGAUUGACUGUAUACUUGAUGGUGGUUGAACCUGGGGCUAAGGGAGGGGUAGGAGUCAUAGGCAAUCAGGGUUUCUGGUUGGGACAAGUGGAUAGGUGGCAGUGCUACUGAUAAGAAAGGGGAUGUUAAGAGGAAGAGCAAAUUUACUGAUAGCAUGAUUUAAAUUUUGUUAGUCCACCUGAUCGAAAUGGUAAAUUAGUAGAGGUCUGCAAUCAGGAGAUAGAAACAAAUCUGGAGGUCACUGGCUGAUAGCUGCUAACUGAAGCUACAGGAGAGGAUGAAAUAGUCCAAGAAUAUUGUGACAUGAGAAAAGAAUGUUUAGGACUGAACUUUGAAGAACACUAGUAUGUACAGAUUAGGUAAAGGAAGAGAAGCCCACAAAAACAUUGAGGAGGAACAGCAUGAAGAUGGAAAGCAAGUUAACUGUGUCCUAAAUGCCUAGAGGUUUUCUUUUUCUUUUUUUUUUUUUUGAGACAGAGUCUCACUCUGUCACGCAGGCUGGAGUGCAGUGGUGCAAUCUGGGUUCACUACAAGCUCCGCCUCCCAGGUUCACGCCAUUCUCCUGCCUCAGCUUCCUGAGUAGCUGGGACUACAGGCGCCCACCACCACGCCAGGCUAAUUUUUUGUAUUUUUAGUAGAGAUGGGGUUUCACCGUCUUAGCCAGGAUGGUCUCGAUCUCCUGACCUUGUGAUCCGCCCGCCUCGGCCUCCCAAAGUGCUGGGAUUACAGGCAUGAGCCACCGCGCCCAGCCUGAGGUUUUCAAUUUUAGUGUCACUUAACAAUGUCACAUAUUGAGAAAAUUUAUUUGUUGCUUCCCUCUUCCCUCUCCCCUCUCCCCUCUCCCCACGGUCUCCCUCUCUUUCCACGGUCUCCCUCUGAUGCCGAGCCGAAGCUGGACUGUACUGCUGCCAUCUCGGCUCACUGCAACCUCCCUGCCUGAUUCUCCUGCCUCAGCCUGCCGAGUGCCUGCGAUUGCAGGAGCGCGCCGCCACGCCUGACUGGUUUUCGUAUUUUUUUGGUGGAGAAGGGGUUUCGCUGUGUUGGCCGGGCUGGUCUCCAGCUCCUAACCGCGAGUGAUCUGCCAGCCUCGGCCUCCCGAGGUGCCGGGAUUGCAGACGGAGUCUGGUUCACUCAGUGCUCAAUGGUGCCCAGGCUGGAGUGCAGUGGCGUGAUCUCGGCUCGCUACAACCUCCACCUCCCAGCCGCCUGCCUUGGCCUCCCAAAGUGCCGAGAUUGCAGCCUCUGCCUCGCCACCACCCCGUUUGGGAAGUGAGGAGCGUCUCUGCCUGGCCACCCAUCGUCUGGGACGUGAGGAGCCCCUCUGCCUGGCUGCCCAGUCUGGAAAGUGAGGAGCGUCUCUGCCCGGCCGCCAUCCCAUCUAGGAAGUGAGGAGCGCCUCUUCCCGGCCUCCCAUCGUCUGAGAUGUGGGGAGCGCCUCUGCCCCGCUGCCCCGUCUGGGAUGUGAGGAGCGCCUCUACCCGGCCGCGACCCCGUCUGGGAGGUGAGGAGCGUCUCUGCCCGGCUGCCCCGUCUGAGAAGUGAGGAGUCCCUCCGCCCGGCAGCUGCCCCGUCUGAGAAGUGAGGAGCCCCUCCGUCCGGCAGCCGCCCCGUCUGGGAAGUGAGGAGCCCCUCCGCCCGGCAGCCACCCCGUCUGGGAGGGAGGUGGGGGUCAGCCCCCCACCCGGCCAGCCGCCCCGCCCGGGAGGUGAGGGGCGCCUCUGCCCGGCUGCCCCUACUGGGAAGUGAGGAGCCCCUCUGCCCAGCCAGCCGCCCCGUCCGGGAGGGAGGUGGGGGGGUCAGCCCCCCGCCCGGCCAGCUGCCCCGUCCGGGAGGUGAGGGGCGCCUCUGCCCGGCCGCCCCUACUGGGAAGUGAGGAGCCCCUCUACCCGGCCACCACCCCGUCUGGGAGGUGUAUCGAACAGCUCAUUGAGAACAGGCCAUGAUGACAAUGGCGGUUUUGUGGAAUACAAAGGGGGGAAAGGUGGGGAAAAGAUUGAGAAAUCGGAUGGUUGCCGCGUCUGUGUAGAAAGAGGUAGACAUGGGAGACUUUUCAUUUUGUUCUGUACUAAGAAAAAUUCUUAUCCUGUUGAUCUGUGACCUUACCCCCAACCCUGUGCUCUCUGAAACAUGUGCUGUGUCCACUCAGAGUUAAAUGGAUUAAGGGCGGUGCAAGAUGUGCUUUGUUAAACAGAUGCUUGAAGGCAGCAUGCUCGUUAAGAGUCAUCACCACUCCCUAACCUCAAGGACCCAGGGACACAAACAUUGCGGAAGGCCGCAGGGUCCUCUGCCUAGGAAAGCCAUAGACCUUUGUUCACUUGUUUAUCUGCUGACCUUCCCUCCACUAUUGUCCUAUGACCCUGCCAAAUCCCCCUCUGCGAGAAACACCCAAGAAUGAUCAAUAAAAAAUAAAAAAAUAAUAAAAAAAAAAGAAAAAAAAGAAAAAAACAAUGUCACAUAUUGCCACAGGAUAAGCUAAGGAUGAAAUCUCUCCAGGACUUAGUGUCAUAGAGGUCAUUGGUGACUCUAGUGAGGGCCACUGUAUAUAGUGGGGGCAGGAGCCAUAGUGGGUUUUAAGCUCAAAUAGGAGGUAAGGACAUGGAAAACAUGGGAAGGCACUUGAGAAGUCUGACUAUGAAGCAGAGAUAGGACUGUGGUCAGAUACAAAUAUGAGAAGCAGAUUUCUUCUGAUGAGAAUGGUGUGUUCAACUGUCCAUGCAAAGAGCCAAUGGAGAAAGAGAGGAAAAAUACAGACCAAGUAACAACAGACUCCAUGA
rnacentral:lncRNA from 1 species